rnacentral:rRNA from 1 species
CAGUAGCCGCGGGAAUACGAAGGGGGCUAGCGUUGCUCGGAAUGACUGGGCGUAAAGGGCGCGUAGGCGGUUUUGACAGUCAGAUGUGAAAUUCCUGGGCUUAACCUGGGGGCUGCAUUUGAGACGUCAAGACUAGAGUGUGAGAGAGGGUUGUGGAAUUCUCAGUGUAGAGGUGAAAUUCGUAGAUAUUGGGAAGAACACCGGUGGCGAAGGCGGCAACCUGGCUCAUUACUGACGCUGAGGCGCGAAAGCGUGGGGAGCAAACAGGAUCAGAUACCCCAGUAGUCCCUGUCUCUUAUAC